rnacentral:rRNA from 1 species
UACGGAGGGGGCUAGCGUUGUUCGGAAUUACUGGGCGUAAAGCGCGCGUAGGCGGACCUGCAAGUCGGGGGUGAAAGCCCGAGGCUCAACCUCGGAACUGCCUUCGAUACUGCGGGUCUCGAGUCCGGGAGAGGUGAGCGGAAUUCCUAGUGUAGAGGUGAAAUUCGUAGAUAUCGGGAGGAACACCAGUGGCGAAGGCGACUUCCUGGCCUGUUCUUGACGCUGAGGCGCGAAAGCUAGGGUAGCAAACGGG